AGAGAAAACUGGGUCUCACGGCCCGAUCUACCCCACACACACCUGUGAACCGUUUUAUAUGUGUCUGACGACCCUCGCGGGUCCGAAAGGCCAUCUUUACAAAACAUCUCAUAACAAGUCUUGAACGUCAAUGUUAUAUCUUAACAAAAACA
rnacentral:misc_RNA from 1 species